GGUCCGAAAGAUUCUAAACCUGCGUGUAUUUGAGGAUGAGAGUGGGAAGCACUGGUCGAAGAGUGUGAUGGACAAACAGUACGAGAUUUCUGUGUGUCAGCCCAGUUUACCCUCCAGUGUGUCCUGAAGGGAAAACAAGCCUGAUUUCCACCUAGCAAUUGCCCCACGGAGCAGGCAUGAGGGCUUCUACAAACAGCUUCCUGGAGCAGCUGCGUAAACAUACAGUCCGGAGCUUAUCAAAAUGGCAAGUUUGGGGCCUACAUGCAGGUGCACAUUCAGAAUGAUGGGCCUGUGACCAUAGAGCUGGAAUCGCCAGCUCCCGGCACUGCUACCUCUGACCCAAAGCAGACGGAUUCUCGCUCUGUCUCCCAGGCUGGAGUGCAGUGGCGCGAUCUCCGUUCAUUGCAAGCUCCACCUCCCGGGUUCAUGCCAUUCUUCUGCCUAAGCCUCCCAAGUAGCUGGGACUAUAGGCACGUGCCAACAUGCCCGGCUAAUUUUUUUUGUAUUUUUUUAGUAGAGACGGGGUUUUACCAUGUUAGCCAGGAUGGUCUCGAUCUCCUGCCCUCGUGAUCCACCCGCCUCGGCCUCCCGAAGUGCUGGGAUUACAGGUGUGAACUACCGCGCCCAGCCAAAGUUCACUAGGUUUUUUAAAUGUCUUUUUUCUGCUCCGGGAUAAUGCAGGAUUCCACACGGCAUUUAGUUGUCAUUUCUGCUUAGUCUUCUCCAAUCUGUGACAGUUCCUCAGCCUUUCCUUGUCUUUUGUGACAUUGAUACUUUUCAAGAGUACUAGUCUACUGUUUUGUAGAAUGUUUCUCACUUUGGGUUUUCUAUGAUUAUAUUGAGGUAAUGCAUGUUGACAGGAAUAGGAAAUAGCACAGAAGUGAUCUUGUGCCCUUCAUAGUGCAUCCUACCAGGAGGUGUGUGGUAUUGAUUUGUCUUGUUACCUGUGAUACCAGCCUUAUUACUUGGUUCAGGUGAAGUCUACCAGAUACCUCCAUGUUAGAUGAAGUGCUAACCUCUUUCCCCUUGUCUGUCCUCUGGUUCAUUCACAGCAGACAGCUCUCUCUCAGCUUUGCAGGGAAAGAAGCCAGCAGAUGGCAUUGACUCUGCUUCUCUAUCCCCCUUCUGCCACCGUGGUAGCAGAGCUACCCUUUCCUGGGCUGAGGCCAGCCUCUCCCUGGGGCCAGGAACAGCUACAUAAUUUGAGAGGCCCAGUGUAAAAUGAAAAUGUGGGGCCCCUUGUUCAAAAAAUAUUACAAAUUUCAAGGUGGUGACAUAGAGCAUAAAACGAAAGGUGGGGCCCCUCUGAAGAUGGGGCCUGUGUGACUGCUCGGCUGUGGGUCUAGACCGACCUGGGCUUUGGAGCCCUUCCCUUCCACCUCCUCAGCAGCUUCCUGGAAGCCUCUGUCCUCUUGUUGGUUCUGUCUGCCUCUCACAGUCAUCCAUCUUAUCCCAUUGGGUUUUAAAUAUGCCCAAAUGUCUCCAAUUGAGAAAUGCUUCCAUUUCCUCCCUUCUGCUCUGCCACAGUGUCCUUGGGUCUGUAAAGGUUCUCACCGAGGGCCCCAGUGACCUCACAUUGCUUUAUUUCAUGCCCAUUUUUCAGAACCCCUUUCUUGCCACUGCUGCCCACUUUUGCCCCUGGAAAUGGCUGGAGCCUUGUUUCCCAGGACGUCAUUCUCUCUGGGUUUUUGUCUUGCCUCUGGCUACUCCCUCUGGUUUUAUUUGAUCAUUAUUCCAUAGUUUUUAUUUAUUAUUCUGCUUUAACUCUAUUUGGAGAAAAAUUUUAGUCUUUUUUUCAUUCUAAAUAUUUUUCUGAAAAUGGUAGAAUAGUACAUUUUGCCUUUAGAAUCUUCACCUUUCUUUCAACCAGUACCCUCUUCUUGUUUAGGUCAAAGGGUACAAAGAUGCAGUUAUUUUGGGUGAGUAAGUCUCAAGAUCUAAUGUACACCAUAAGGAGUGCAGUAUCAUAUUGUGCACUGGGAGUAGAUUUAGGAAUUCUCAGCACACACAGAAUAAAGGACGGUAACUGUGUGAGAUGCUGGACAUGUAAUUUACUUGACUGUAGUAAUCACUUCACUAUGUGUGUGUAGAUCAGAGCAUCAUGCUGUACACCUUAUACAAUAAAUCCCUCUCCCCAAAUCAAAAAA
rnacentral:sRNA from 1 species